CGCCUCUUGCAACUAUAAGAGGUCCAGCCUGCCCAGUGACCCAGUUCAACGGCCGCGGUAUCCUAACCGUGCGAAGGUAGCGUAAUCACUUGUUUUCUAAAUAAAAACUAGUAUGAAAGGCAUCACGAGAAUUAAACUGUCUCCCUUUUCUAAUCAGUAAACCUAAUCUCCCCGUGAAGAAGCGGGGAUCAUCUAAUAAGACGAGAAGACCCUAUGGAGCUUUAAACAUACUAAUCAUAUGACCUACUUUAUCACACCCAGGUGCACAUACUCACACAUAAUGAUUAUAUGUUUUCGGUUGGGGUGACCGCGGAGAAUAAACCAUCCUCCGCGAUGAUAAGGGCCCCCCCCAAACAACAAGCCACAGCUUUAUGUAUCAACAAAUUGACACCAUUGACCCAAUAUAUUGAUUAACGAACCAAGUUACCCUAGGGAUAACAGCGCAAUCCACUUCAAGAGUCCCUAUCGACAAGUGGGCUUACGACCUCGAUGUUGGAUCAGGGUAUCCUAGUGGGGCAGCCCCUACUAAAGGU
rnacentral:rRNA from 1 species